ACAUUUGCCAUUACUUUGGCGCUGACUUCUUGAAUUCUGAAUUGAAUUCAUUUAGACAACCAUUUGACUUCGGGUAAAUUGACACCUGACUCAAAUUACUUAAAGAUUCUAACUUGUUGGAUCUGAGAAGUGACUUUCCAAUAUACCGUUUAACUAUUGAACAGCUGUUUUGUCGCAUAUUGACCAGGUGCGUGUGUCUCAGAACCUCGGCCUCGUUGUGUGCCACGGACGCUGCGGUAGUUCAACGGGACUGAGAGUCACUCUAGUCCUUUAGUUGAUCUCUUGUUUAUACCUAUGGUUAUCUGAAUUGACCCUGUAAGCAUAUUGACCAGGUGCGUGUGUCUCAGAACCUCGGCCUCGUUGCGUGUUACAGACUUUUUGAUAUUCUAUUGGGGCAAGGGAUCACCAACGGGUCCUCUCAUCCAGUCCAAACUUGAAUCUCUAAAUUUAGUAAACCACCGACUUCAAGUCAACCUCUCAGCCAGUAGAGGGGAGUUGCUACUAACUAAAUUCUAAAAGAACUCUGACCGAUUGAAACUCUGCUCCUGAUCUUGUGGGUCUCCUCGUCAUCUCUCAAAGGCUCACUUUCCAGGACACCUACAACACCCGAUGUCACAGGAAGGCCAAAAAGAUCAUCAAGGACAUCAACCACCCGAGCCACGGCCUAUCAUCCAGAAGGCAAGAAAACCAUUACAGAAUCACCCACCAACCAAGGACCAAGCGGCGUGGUAAACAGAGGCAGCAGCAGCAGGAGAAGUGAUAGGUGCAGCAGGAGCAACAGCAGCA